GGAUCAUUGCUGGAACGCGCCCCUGGCGCACCCAGAAACCCUUUGUGAACUUAUACCUUACUGUUGCCUCGGCGCAGGCCGUCCUUGCGGGACCCUUGGCAACAAGGAGCAGCCGGCCGGUGGCCAAGUUAACUCUUGUAUUAAUUUGUCUCUCUGAGCAUAAACAUAAAUGAAUCAAAACUUUCAACAACGGAUCUCUUGGUUCUGGCAUCGAUGAAGAACGCAGCGAAAUGCGAUAAGUAAUGUGAAUUGCAGAAUUCAGUGAAUCAUCGAAUCUUUGAACGCACAUUGCGCCCUCUGGUAUUCCGGAGGGCAUGCCUGUUCGAGCGUCAUUUCAACCCUCAAGCCUGGCUUGGUGUUGGGGCACUGCUUUACCCACAAGCAGGCCCUGAAAUAUAGUGGCGAGCUCGCCAGGACUCCGAGCGUAGUAGUUAAACCCUCGCUUUGGAAGGNCUGGCGGUGCCCUGCCGUUAAACCCCAACUUUUGAAAAUUUGACCUCGG
rnacentral:rRNA from 1 species